rnacentral:rRNA from 1 species
GACGAACGCUGGCGGCAUGCUUAACACAUGCAAGUCGAACGGAAGUAAUCCUUCGGGGUUGCUUUAGUGGCGAACGGGUGGGUAAUGUAUGAGCAACCUGCCCCUAACAACGGGAUAACACUUAGAAAUAGGUGCUAAUACGGUAUAAGACCACGGUGUCGCAUGGCACUGCGGUAAAAGAUUUUAUCGGUUAGGGAUGGGCUCAUAUCCCAUUAGAUAGUUGGUGAGAUAACAGCCCACCAAGUCUGCGAUGGGUAGCCGAGCUGAGAGGCUGAUCGGCCACAUUGGAACUGAAACACGGUCCAGACUCCUACGGGAGGCAGCAGUGGGGAAUAUUGGGCAAUGGAGGAAACUCUGACCCAGCAAUGCCGCGUGAGUGAUGAAGGUCUUUUGAUUGUAAAGCUCUUUUCAGAGAGGAAGACAAAUGACGGUACUCUCAGAAAAAGCCACGGCUAACUACGUGCCAGCAGCCGCGGUAAUACGUAGGUGGCAAGCGUUACUCGGAAUUACUAGGCGUAAAGUGUAUGUAGGCUGUUAAAUAAGUCUUUAGUGAAAGAUUUUGGCUUAACCAGAAAUAGUCUAGGGAUACUGUUUAACUUAGAGUGUGAGAGAGGGAGAUGGAAUUCCUGGUGUAGCGGUGGAAUGUGUAGAUAUCAGGAGGAACGCCAAUGGCGAAAGCAAUUUCCUGGUUCAUUACUGACGCUGAAAUACGAAAGCUAGGGGAGCAAACAGGAUUAGAUACCCUGGUAGUCCUAGCUGUAAACGAUGUUCACUAGAUGUAGGAGGUAUCGACCCCUUCUAUAUCGUAGCUAACGCAUUAAGUGAACCGCCUGGGGAGUACGACCGCAAGGUUGAAACUCAAAGGAAUUGACGGGGGCCCGCACAAGCGGUGGAGUAUGUGGUUUAAUUCGACGCAACGCGAAGAACCUUACCUGGGCUUGAACUGCUAAUGGUAAAAGUCAGAAAUGAUGAUGACCCGUAAGGGAGUUAGUAGAGGUGCUGCAUGGUUGUCGUCAGCUCGUGUCGUGAGAUGUUGGGUUAAGUCCCGCAACGAGCGCAACCCCUAUUGCCAGUUGCUAACAGGAGAGCUGAGCACUCUGGCGAGACUGCCGCCGACAAGGCGGAGGAAGGUGGGGAUGACGUCAAGUCAUCAUGGCCUUUAUGCCCAGGGCGACACACGUGCUACAAUGGCCGGCACAGAAGGUAGCUUGCCCGCGAGGGUUGGCGAAUCCGCAAAAGCCGGUCCCAGUUCGGAUUGUAGUCUGCAACCCGACUACAUGAAGCCGGAAUCGCUAGUAAUCGCAGAUCAGCCAAGCUGCGGUGAAUACGUUCCCGGGCCUUGUACACACCGCCCGUCACACCACCCGAGUUGGGUGCACCCGAAGCCGCAGGCUCAACCGCAAGGAGAGAAGCGUCGAAGGUGCGCCGGGUAAGGGGGGUG